UCCCCCUUAGCUCAGCGGUAGAGCGCUUCACUAGUAAGCUUUUGAUGAAGAGGUCAGUCGUUCAAGUCGGCUAGGGGGAA
rfam:Moniliophthora roreri strain MCA 2952 kmer90.96594, whole genome shotgun sequence.